GAUGAACGCUGGCGGCGUGCCUAAUACAUGCAAGUCGAGCGAACAGACGAGGAGCCUGCUCCUCUGACGUUAGCGGCGGACGGGUGAGUAACACGUGGAUAACCUACCUAUAAGACUGGGAUAACUUCGGGAAACCGGAGCUAAUACCGGAUAAUAUAUUGAACCGCAUGGUUCAAUAGUGAAAGACGGUUUUGCUGUCACUUAUAGAUGGAUCCGCGCCGCAUUAGCUAGUUGGUAAGGUAACGGCUUACCAAGGCAACGAUGCGUAGCCGACCUGAGAGGGUGAUCGGCCACACUGGAACAGAGACACGGUCCAGACUCCUACGGGAGGCAGCAGUAGGGAAUCUUCCGCAAUGGGCGACAGCUUGACGGAGCAACGCCGCGUGAGUGAUGACGGUCUUCGGAUCGUAAAACUCUGUUAUUAGGGAAGAACAAAUGUGUAAGUAACUAUGCACGUCUUGACGGUACCUAAUCAGAAAGCCACGGCUAACUACGUG
rnacentral:rRNA from 1 species